UUCGUAGGCGGUGCGGCAAGUCGGGAGUGAAAUCUCUGGGCUUAACUCAGAGGCUGCUUCCGAAACUGCUGUGCUCGAGUGUGGGAGAGGCGCGUGGAAUUGCAGGUGUAGCGGUGAAAUGCGUAGAUAUCUGCAGGAACACCCGUGGCGAAAGCGGCGCGCUGGACCACAACUGACGCUGAGGAACGAAAGCUAGGGGAGCAAACAGGAUUAGAUACCCUGGUAGUCCUAGCCCUAAACGAUCAGGACUUGGGGUGCCGCCCGUUCGGGCGUCGUCCCGGAGCUAACGCGUUAGGUCCUGCACCUGGGGAGUACGGUCGCAAGACUGAA
rnacentral:rRNA from 1 species